rnacentral:rRNA from 1 species
CAGUCGCCACGGUAAUACGUAGGUCCCGAGCGUUGUCCGGAUUUAUUGGGCGUAAAGGGAGCGCAGGCGGUUUAGUAAGUCUGAAGUUAAAGGCAUUGGCUCAACCAAUGUAUGCUUUGGAAACUGUUAGACUUGAGUGCAGAAGAGGAGAGUGGAAUUCCACGUGUAGCGGUGAAAUGCGUAGAGAUGUGGAGGAACACCAGUGGCGAAGGCGACUCUCUGGUCUGUAACUGACGCUGAGGAGCGAAAGCGUGGGGAGCGAACAGGAUUAGAUACCCCGGUAGUCCCUGUCUCUUAUACA